AAAGAAAUAACUUGUGACAAUAAAUUUACAACAAUGUACAGUCUCAAUGAAGCAUUGUACAUUAAUAAUUUGACUUUUCAGUUUUCAGUUAUCGCGAAUCAAAUUAGUUGGCUCGCUUAGAACAUACUUGGGCAACUCGUACUUGGCGCCUCUUUCGUCAUAGCAUAUUGUUAGAUCAGGGGCUUGCACGAUUAUCCCGGCACUGUCCACGAUUGCUUGUGCAAGGCUUAUAUCCGACUCUGCUGCAGCUCGGAGUGCAUCCCAGAUCUCUUUUCGACCCCCAUAAUGUGGUGCUGUGUCCCAGAAUUCAU
rnacentral:misc_RNA from 1 species